rnacentral:rRNA from 1 species
GUCUAUAGCCAUGCUACCCUGAACGAGUCCGCUCCCGUCUGAUCUCGGAAGCUAAGCAGAGUCAGGCCUGGUUAGUACUUGGAUAGGAGACCACCUAGGAAGACCAGGUGCUGUAGGCA